GAAAGAACCACUCCAUGUGCUAUAAACAAAGCAAAGGAAACAGGCCGCUUGGAAACACCACCAACUGCAACCGGACCGCUGGAGAAGGAGAAGGUGCCCCUGUGAACACGACUGGACCAUCUAAUGGCACAUACUGGGUGCAAGGAAUGGCCUGGCUAUGUGGACAACGGGCGUAUUUCAUACUGCCCCCAGGCUGGACAGGAACAUGUGCUCCCAUAUUCCUGUCAGACCACACUUUCAGAAUCACCGCAGUAAACACCACUUCUACAGCACGCCGGAAAAGAAGAUCAACGCCUCCUGAAAUUCAACCGCAUGACCCAAUAUGGGGAAGCGACGUACCCAAGGAAUUCAAACUGUGGACUACCGGACAGAAAGUAUUCCAUUCAUUGUUCCCCUGGGUGGGAACCGGAAAAAACAUGCUGAGGAUUGAAACUCUGGACUACCGUUUUGGACUUUUCCUGAACGCUUCAUGCAAAAUCAACGAACAGCAGAACCAGGAAAUCAAUGCAUUACGAAUUGCCGUGAUGCAACAUCGAGUAGCUCUGGACAUGAUACUAGCAGAGACAGGGGGACUUUGUGUCCUCUUCAACAACACCUGCUGCACUUACAUACCAGACAAUGUACACUCAUCAAACAUGACUGACGCCCUGAACGCUUUGAGACAGAUCCAGCAGGCCCAAAAUCAGGACUAUGAGCAGGCUCUUCUCCUGCCAUUUCAUCAACAGUGUAUGAAAAUGUUCAGGUAACUGAUCUACAAAUGGAUAUCUACGACAAUGACACAAAAUAGAAAAAGAAAAGAGAUUUUUCCGGAACCCUGUCGUACCUUCACCCCUGGACCCCUAGACCCGUGAGCGUGAGUGAAGCUGUUCAGCGUGGAGUUUUGUGUGUGCAAGGAGUGAGAGGAGCCGCGUGUGUGUGAAGAUCUUAUGUCCCUUGACUCCUGAAACACUGGCCUUUCCACCCCACGUGUAUAUAGUGGACUCAGUGUGGAUUAAUAAAAAACUGUUUAACUGUACUUUCUGUUUGCGCCUGAGUCCACCUCACCAGCCGUAACAGUACCUCACAGCAGUAGAAUAAUGGCUAUGUAAUACUACUGGUUGCCUGCCUUCUAAAGGCCAAACAUUGUUCGCAGUAAAACAAAAAGCAUUCGGUUUUCAUGAGGGAUAUGAAAACAGAAGAUAAAAUGUGGUCUAUCUAAAAGAGAAAGAAAAGAAAAAUAUAUUAUUAUAUUUAACCUUAAAUGCAAUGUUUUUGAACGAUUAAAACAUCAGUUGCCUCAAGGCGCUUUAUAUUUUAAGAUAAACCCUAAAAUGAUACACACAGAGAAAAACCCAACAAUCAUUUGACCCCUAUGAGCAAGCACUUUGGUGACAGUGGGAAGGAAAAACUCCCUUUUAACAGGAAGAAACCAAACUGAGUGAGGGGCGGCCAUCUGCUGCAAUGGUUGGGGUGAGAGAAGGAAGACAGAAUGAAAGACAUGCUGUGGAAGAGAGACAGAGAUGAUUUAAAAUAAGAUGGGGCCUUAUUAUUCACAGGAUUUUGAAUUCAAUUCUGGAUUUAACAGGAAGCCAAUGAAGGAAAGCCAAUAUAGGGGAGAUGUGCUCUCUCUUUCUAGUCCCUGUCAGUACUCCUGCUGCAGCAUUUUGGAUUAGCUGAAGGCUUUUCAGUGAGUGUUUAGGAUAUUCUGAUAAUAAUGAAUUACAGUAGACCAGCCUAGAAGUAAUAAAUGCAUGAACUAGUUUUUCAGCAUCACUCUGAGACAGGAUCUUUCUAAUUUUAGAGAUGUUGCGCAAAUGGAAGAGAACAGUCUUACAUAUUUUUUCAAUAAGCUCAUUGAAGGACAAAUGUGUCCAUGUGUGUUCAUUAAAGGCCAUUUAAAAAUUCAUUCAUAGUUGAUACUUUUGUUCCGCUCCCUUAAGGCCAAAACAGAGAGAAUGAGGAGGAGCUUCUUCCCCCAGGCUAUUCUUCUAUCUUCUACCUCUGCUACACGUGCUGACAUAUUGCAUCUCUGUGUGGUUCUCGAGCUGCACAAUGGCAUACAAAGGGUCAUUACCGUCACCCAGAAAAUCAUUGGCAACCCCCUCCCCUCCCUGGAGGACCUCUACAGCACCUGCUGUCUCAAAAUGGGAUACAACAUUUCGAUAUAUGUUAUUUAUUAUGAUUACUUCUUGUCUUUCUUUUAGCAACAGUGUGCUUUUAGCUCCAAUAUCAUUGUAAUAUUAUACAAUGUAUGACUGCACAGUGACAACGAGUUAAAGAGUUAGAAUUUUUGUGAUAGACAAAUAACCUGCCCCACCUUUCACCUUAUGAUCGCUGGGAUAGGCUUCAGCCAUGCGAAAACCUGAAUUGUAUCAAUGGAUGGAUAAUACUGUGUAAUGAUACUUUGCAACAUUUUUAAUGUCAACCAGUAAGUCCUUGAAAUAGUUUCGUGAUGUUGUCUGUUUCCUUUGCUGCACUCCAUAUUGUGGUGUGUGUAUUUUCAUGUGCAUUAAAAAUAUAAAUUGAUGUUCAGUCUAUGUUUUAUGCAUAUCACCUCACAGAGCAUUAGCAAAUGCUGAAUCCCUUCAUAAAUUAAAAAAGACUACAUUUGAGUUGAGCUAAAAAACAUCUGACACUACCAAGCUCUUGAAUAUUUAUAGGCCAAGUAAUCAUUUGGCAGUAUAUUCAAAGCACAUUGUAUUUUAAUAAAAGAUAUGAUUGAAGGACAUAAUGAAUAUUCAUUACAUUUACUCCAUCAAAUGACUCUCUGCCUUUGACGUUAAAAUGACAAACUUUGUUUUCAAACUGUAGUUUUCUAUUUUUUUAAAAUUAUUAAUACUUUUUUUUUU
ensembl:lncRNA